rnacentral:rRNA from 1 species
AGUGAACGCUGGCGGUAGGCCUAACACAUGCAAGUCGAACGGCAGCACAGUAAGAGCUUGCUCUUACGGGUGGCGAGUGGCGGACGGGUGAGGAAUACAUCGGAAUCUACUUUUUCGUGGGGGAUAACGUAGGGAAACUUACGCUAAUACCGCAUACGACCUACGGGUGAAAGCAGGGGAUCUUCGGACCUUGCGCGAUUGAAUGAGCCGAUGUCGGAUUAGCUAGUUGGCGGGGUAAAGGCCAACCAAGGCGACGAUCCGUAGCUGGUCUGAGAGGAUGAUCAGCCACACUGGAACUGGGACACGGUCCAGACUCCUACGGGAGGCAGCAGUGGGGAAUAUUGGACAAUGGGCGCAAGCCUGAUCCAGCGAUACCGCGUGGGUGAAGAAGGCCUUCGGGUUGUAAAGCCCUUUUGUUGGGAAAGAAAAGCAGCAGGUUGAUACCCCGCUGUUCUGACGGUACCCAAAGAAUAAGCACCGGCUAACUUCGUG